rnacentral:lncRNA from 1 species
UUUUGUUUGUUUUAAUUGAUCACCAGUUAAGUCAUGAUACAUUUCAAAGCAAAAUAUUCUGUUCAAGGACAUUGUGCCAAACAUUAAAUCUACUUUUAAACAAGGCUUAUUUUGACUAUAUUACCAUUAUAUACAUACAAGUAUAAUUUUAAUUUCACUAGUAGCAAAAUUACUCAGUACAUUACAUUUCCUGAAAGAUGGCAAAAAACAGGACUUGAAGAUCUGUUCUGCCCUUCCACAUAUCCCCAAACCAGAAAAAUCACAGGUAUAGAAAGUACAAUCACAACUACAGGUAAACACAAUAAGGACCUCAGAGCAAGUUAAGACCUUAUCAGAGAUGACAAUCGCUUCCAGAAGUCUACAUUGCAGAUAGAUACACAGUUACAUUCCACUAAAGAAUUUUGGGAGUUCUCACAAUGCCUCUUAAUCCUCUUUUGGUAAUAAAAACUUCUAUGACAACAUGUAUCCUUCAUAAAAAUGACUUUGUAUUUUUGGAGCAUCUGUUGGAAGCUUAAUGCAGUCUAAAUUGCAGCCUACAAUAAGCUCAUCCAAACAGAGCGAGCAAGCAUUGCAUGAUUCAUCAAAAUCAGAACCACAGCUCAGCUGAGUCACUCUUUGCUCCCGGUCUCUGGGCCCCUGGUAGCUAGAGCUACUCUGCACCACGGACGGGCUCAAGGGGUCGGAAACAGUACAUUUCUUCUACAGCUUUUGCAGGUCACUCACCUGCAAGUUCUUGACAGAAAAUGUCAACUGACUCAUAAAGCACAGGCAACUGUACAAGACUGAUGUGAACUUAUUUACAAAGCAUUCAUUACACUGCAAUCACAAGACAAUUAAGGACACAGCUAAGGAGCAACAAGAUUUCUGUAUUUAUGCUACCCCUGAAAAAUUCCUGUGAGCAGCAGAGAACGCAAUGGGCAGUGACUGCACAAACAUACUGCUGCUGCUGGGGAAACUGCAGUCUGGGCUUUGGGAAGUGGAAUGGUGCACGUAACCCAGCGGUCCCAAAGGGCAGCUGAGACUUCAGUUACGCUCAAACUCUGCUUUGGUUUGUGCAAUAUAUUAUUAAUCCUGUGCAUGCAGCUUUGAGACGUAGUCUGCAUUCAGGAAGGAACCGUUACUCUGUGCUUGGCAAAACAACACUGGAGGAGAUUUCUAGAACUAGUAAGGAAGUGGAGGUAAACAAGGCAUUUUUCAUGAGCGCUAGUGACCCUCACAGCUGCAACCUUGCCACCAUCACAAGGAAAUGAACUUCAUCAGCACUGUUGUAGGUUUUCUAUUCUAUAUUUGGAAAUUUUAUACUACUUCUAUAUUUGCUGAAGGAAGCUACCCCCUGAUGAGCAACCUCUCUGAACUUUACCUAAGUGACAAUGCAGAGGAGCUUCUCCUACCAGGCUUGAUGUCCCCAGGCUUGGGGAACAGCUACCCACUAACAAUAUUGAGCUUAACCUCAUGAUUUAGUAUGAAUGUAGGUGCUUAUCUACUCCUUUUCCUUCUCUUCCCUGCUGUUAAGCACAAGGAAAUCUGACCACACUAGGAAACACUAAACAGGCAUGCCCAAGGUUAAAGACACCAACUGAUUUCCUCCAGUAUGGUCAGAACACAUCACUUCUCCUUUGGCAGGUUCUAGCCACACACACUCAACACCACUUCUUCGCAGAUCUCCAUUUUAAGUGUCAAGUUGCCUGGCUCUCCAGACCUAACAUCAAUAUGAUAUAAGUAACUUAGUUCAGAAAUAACUGCUGUAAAUCUGCUGUAUCAUUUUAUCAGCCCUGCUUUAUAGCAACUUCUGCAAAAAAGCCAAGCACUCAGUACUGCCACUUGUACAUAGCCAGUCAGUAGCCCUUCUGAAAGGGCUGAAAAAGCAGGCUACAAACUAGGUUCUUUCUACUAGUCUACACCUAGUUUUAGCAGAGGUAGGUAGGAAUAGGUGAAGAGAGAAUUAGAAAACAACGUUUGAGAUGUAGGCUAGAGUCCAGAUGUUCUUUACUCUUCCUUUAACCUAUGUUUCACUGGUUUUUUCUUUGCUUAACCAUGGUCAACCUACUCACUUAUGAACUGGAUCCUGGUAGGCUGCAAAGACAACAUGAUAUUAGUCAGUUGUCAUUAACAGGCAGAGGAACUACAAGCAUGGGCCAAAAGUCUCAGCUUAAUCAAUUUUUCUGUAGCCUAUUCUAAAAGCUUUUCAGCUUGUGGACAUUAAGAAUACAACUACAGUAACAUACAACUACAGUAACAUGUUUAAUAGUUUGAAUGC